rnacentral:rRNA from 1 species
AUUGAACGCUGGCGGCAUGCUUUACACAUGCAAGUCGAACGGUAACAGGGAGCUUGCUCCGCUGACGAGUGGCGAACGGGUGAGUAAUACAUCGGAACGUACCCAGUAAUGGGGGAUAACUAUCCGAAAGGAUAGCUAAUACCGAAUACGCCCUACGGGGGAAAGAGGGGGAUCGCAAGACCUCUUGUUAUUGGAGCGGCCGAUGGCUGAUUAGCUAGUUGGUGAGGUAAAGGCUCACCAAGGCGACGAUCAGUAGCGGGUCUAGAGGACGAUCCGCCACACGGGAACUGAGACACGGUCCAGACUCCUACGGGAGGCAGCAGUGGGGAAUCUUGGACAAUGGGCGCAAGCCUGAUCCAGCAAUGCCGCGUGCGUGAAGAAGGCCUUCGGGUUGUAAAGCGCUUUUGUCAGGGAGCAAAUCCUUGUGGCUAAUACCCACCGGGGAUGAGAGUACCUGAAGAAUAAGGACCGGCUAACUACGUGCCAGCAGCCGCGGUAACAC